rnacentral:lncRNA from 1 species
CCCUUACUUUUUCUUGAAUCAUGUCCACUAAUGUCUGCUUUAGACUUCUCAUUUUAUUUAUUUAUUUCCAGGCUGAAAAGGUUAUCCUGUUGCAUUGUAAACAACCACUGAACCUUCAGAAGAGAUUUCUCAUCUGGGCAGUUUUGCUGGCUAUGUGUCUUGGAUGAACUGUUUCUUCCGUACACCAUUGCUGACCAUAAAGGACAACAGCUCCAGGAAGAAGGGUGACUACAUAACAUGAAAGACAUGAUCACAGCAGCUGGAACACAGAAGACACCCGUAUUUAGUCCUGU